UAAGUCCAAAGUCCUAUGUUCAGAUACUGACAUGGGUGACAAAAAGAAAAGCUUAGUUUCUACUCUUCAGGAGCUCAGAGUCUGGGGGAGGGACAGACACAAAUAACCAGUGAACGUGAAAAUGGCAAAAUAAGUGCUUUGGGAAGAGGCGAGGGAAAAAUGAGAUCCUGCCAGCUCCCCUUGUAUCCGUUUCACUGGAAAUGUUUUUCUCUAUUUUCACUCAUAAACCACCUGCUUGGGACUCCGUUGGCCAUCACCAAUACAUUUUCUUUUUCUCUGUAUCUCUUGUCCAGCUCAACCCUGCUAGAGCAACUUCCUUUGCUGAUGUGCAAGAGGCUUUCUUUUCACCCCUUCCUAUCAGCCAGGGUUCAAUUGCAGUCCACAGAGCCCAUUCAAGUUUGAUUAAGCAGAAAGAUAUUUAUUACAGGGUAUUAGGAACUUACAGAUUUCUAGGGACAGGUGAGAGAACCAAACAUGAAUGCCAGACAGCAGAAGUGAGCAGCGAGGAAGAAUGCUCAGUUACUCCCUGAGGCUGUUCCAGUGGAAAGUCCACAGCUGCUGCCACCUGUCACUCUACAUUCAUAAAACUACUACCUGAACACCAGAACCUCUGCUACAGCUGCUGCAGAUUAACUCAACACUUUUAUGACCAGUGCUUGCCAGAAAAGGCUGUGGCCUUAUCAAUUUUAAUUUUUUAAUCCAAAGACUCACAGGGUGCAUUUGCUUGGUUGAAGCUAGUCAUGUGCAAGGGAUGUUUGAAAUGGAGGUUUUCAGAUUCUUCUUGGGAAAAGCUUAAUGAAUCAUGCGUAAAACUACCAAAAUGAGGUUAACAGAAUCAUUGGGAGCCACAAAUGACAGGUCUAUUUUAUCUAUUGUAUCAUCACUUAGACUAUUUGCCCUUAGAAAGUUUGAGCACAGGUUUUAAAAAACAUUUAAUGAUAUGCACAGAGGGGCCUGGUAGAGUAUACCAUUUCAACAUUUUACCAGGUGUAAUGUUCUGAAUGUGUUCCCUUAAAUUUAUGUGUUGGAAACAUAAUCCUGAAUGUAACAGUGUUGGGGGCUGGGGCAGAAUGGGACAUGCCUAGGUCAUGAGGACUCUGCCCUCAUGAAAGGAUUAAUGCUGCUAUAAAAACAGCCUGCAGGAGUGGCUUUGCUCUCUUCUGCUCUUCUGCCCUGUGAGGAUGCAGCAAGAAAACCCUCACCAGAUGCCAGUGCCUUGAUCUUGGACUUCCCAGCCCCCAGAGCUGACUAGAUCGCUAGCUGGCCCUUUGAUUUAACUCUUCAUCUACCAUAGUCAGGUGCCACAGCUUGAUGAACGAGAUAGAAUCGCACAAUGGGAUCAAAGGGACAGCCAGCCCAGUUUAUUUCCAGAGGAAAAGCUUACCAGGACACAAAGGAGGAAAAAAGACUCGGCUUGAAACCAAUUCUUCCCUGAAGUACAAAUGUAAGAGAAAAGACAUCACCAGGAGCAGUUACGUCUAUGGCAAUCGUAGCUCUGUAAGCCUGGCCUGCUCACGUGGAAGUAAAUUAUUUGAUGAGCUGGGGAAAUAUAAGCAGUUUGUGUGGAUUAAAAGGAAAUCCUCACCCAAACUAUAUCUUUAAAAAUUAUCUAGAUAAUUCAGGUGAAAGCAGGCUUUCUCCCUUGUGAAUUAUUAAAGUAAUUGAUUACAUCCAUCUGCUCCUCGUCAGAGAAUUCAAGGGCCAAAUGCUUUUUCGGCGUCUCCUUUUCUAUCCUUCCCUUUCAUGUGACUUACUCUUGUCUGAAUCAGGAGUUUCUGUGAAUAAUCACCGGCCAGCUGUCACCGGUUCUCUUUUCACCUGUUCUCUUUGCAAAUCUGAGCAAUCCAAACCUGCAGGGGUAACAUUCCCCAACUGACUGAGAGUACAUAAGUGGUUCUUCAGCUCUGAGAUGAUCCUAUCAUUGGCUGCUUUAAAAUUUGUGAUUAGUCUGCUUUUUGGGCAUGUGAAAUAUAAUUGGUGGUGCAGAUAAACUUUUAUUCACCAGAGAGAGCUUAUUACAGAGCUGCUUGUCAUGACACGUGGAAACUCAGGAAACUUCUGUGGAGUCUCUGUGUGGCGAUUCUGGCCAGAAUGGUCGUAUGUUUUCAAGAUGCUAACUCUAGUUUCCCCAAAGCUGUCUUUUGCCUGCUGGCUUUGGUCCUAUUCCACGUGACUGUGGAGUGCCUCAAACUCAAGACAGCAAAUGGGAAAGGAACAGGAUCUGGCUCCUGGGAAUGGCCUGCUACCUGACAAGGUGCCCUGAUCAGCUGAGUGCUAAAAACCCCGUGCUGCCCUGUGAGCCUACACGUCGGGUGAAUGAUCUCCAGCUGGAUACAUAGGGGGAUGCAGGGUUAAAAUGGAAGUAUUUGUUUCAAUUUAAUUAAACAUUUUAGCCAAAAUUCUACGUAAGCUGUGUUAUAUGUAAACUUGAAACCCAAACCCCUGGUUUCAGUUGCCCCCUCUUAUAAUUAUGAGGUUCAUAAUCUUGGCCUUGGAUAAAUCAUAUAAGUUCUUUGAGCCAUAGGUUUUCCAUCUGUAAAGUGGGGAUAAUGGUUCCUGCCAGGCCUCUCUGGGUUGUCAUGAAAUUUGAAUGAGAACCUGAAAGCAAUUAGGGAGCUCUAAGCAAGCUGUGUAACUAUAUGACAAACGGGUGCGUGGUUUAGAAUAAUAAUGUGUAUUGAGCACUUACUAUGUGUGAGGCAUUGGUCUACCUUACAUGUAGUCACUCACUUAGUUGUCAUCACAACCCCAUGAGAUGGAUACUAUGAUUGUUUGUUCCACCUUUCAUGAUGGAGAAAGUAAGGCAGAAUGGUUAAGUAACUUGUCUUAGGUGGCCCAGCAGAGAAGUGGCCUGGCUCUGGAGUCUGAGCUCUUAAUUUCUGUAUACCUAUAGCACCUUCUACAUCAGCUUUCUAGGAGCAAUGUGUAUUGGUAAGUGGAUACAAGUCCUUGAGAAGUACCAGUCUAGUCCUUGUUUUGGUUAAAUUGGCUAAUUGACUAAUAACAGUAGAGGCCUUCUCUAGCAUGGGAUACCCAAAGCUUCAAUCAGGUAGGACCACUAGGCAUGGUAGCUGCUGUCAGGAUCAGUAUAGCCACCUGAGUGCCACCUCCACCUCCCUCCCAACUUCUUCCCCACUCUUCUGGCUCUGCCAGGAAACUAUGGUGCAACACUGUCAGGCUGCAUGGGAGGAGGAGAGCACAGACUAGGAACCCCAUGGGGUUGUCCUUGAAUUAGUCCUUCUUCCUGACUUUCAGGAUUCAGCCAUGAAUACUGCCCCCUGAGGGAGCAGGAACCAGCACAUUGUCCUGUACUCCAAGUGGGGUUCAUACCCCCUUCCUUUUGUCUUCAGGAAUUCUAUAGCGAUUCUUCCCGAUUAAAUACAUGCCGGUCAAUUAGGAGCUUAUGGGCUCAAAUCCAUGAGGCCUGAUGAUUGACUCUCCUUGGUCCAUCUUUCUCAGCAGGAACAGACAAAUCAUCAGGAAUUUGAACAUGUGUCUUUUAAACCCACCUUCCUUUGCUGCUUGCUAUGCAUGAUGAAAUUUCACAUGAGAAAUCAUGAGAUCCUCGCAAGAUGCUCUUUGUUUGCCAAUGAAUUUUGAUUUGGUUUUAGAAAAGUGGAAAGUGCAAAUAGAAUUAGGCUUGAAAAUUAUUCAAGAAUCAUUUUAAUGCUCCCAGGAGAUUGGUCUGCUAACUCACAUAGAUUUCUGCUCUCUGUCAGAAUUUAGCCACUUCAAGGAAGCUUUUGUUUAGAAAGAGGUAAAAUCUUUUAGAGAGAGAUCACUUGUGAAUUAUUUGACAAUUGCUCGUAUUUGCUUAAUGUUCUAGAGAGACAUAACAGGGUAUUUGAGAUUUUACAUUUUAUAUAAUGUGACUUCUGAAAAUGUAUUUUGGUUUCCUUUUUGAAAGAUUUUUGCCUUUAUAAAAAUGAUAAUGAAUUAUAAUAGCUCUAAUUAUUAGCCACAUUCUCUGUUAGACACUUUAUACAAUCUCUGUUAUUCUUCCCAGCAAUCUUUGCAAUGUAGAGAUUAUAAUUUUAUUUUAUUUAUGAUAAAACUUUAUGUGUCCUCUCAGAGAGAUUAAGUAACUUGCAGAGGAUCAUAGAGCUGAUUGUCAGUUAAGCUGGAAUUCAAAUCCUAGUCAUUGUAACUCUAACCCCACAGCAUCUUAGACCUGUUGGCCCCUCAGAAGGAAGGGUGGGCCUAGAACUUCAGUGCUACCCCUUCUCUGACAUCACUAGUUACUAAAUCUGCAAUCAGCCUCAGCCUGUGCUUGGUCAACUGUAGCUAGGAGCAGCCAGGAAUCUUAAAGGGCCUCUAGAGAGAAUUCCCAAAUAGGUUCCUUUCCCUCUGAAUUAGUAGAUAGGCAGGUCUUUGGCUCAUUUGGAGGGUAGGUUAGCAGGGCAUAAUGGUUAAGUGCUCAGGUCCUGGAGUUAGUCAGACUUGGUUCAACUCUCAGCUUUAUCAAUCUGGGCAAGUUUCUUAUUCUCUUACUAUAUAGUUUAUGAGAGUUAGACAGAGGAUUGCAGGUAAAGCAUGUAGCUAAUGCCUGGCGUGUGGUGGGCUCAAUAAUGUCAUUUAUUAUUAUUGUUCUAUGUUGCUGUAGAGGGAGAAAAAGCUCAGACUGUAGGUUUAUUCAUACUGUUUCCUUGUUUCUUCUAUGCACUAAAGUCCCUUAAAUAGUUAACCAUUGGAAAACUGUGUAUUUUAGAAGAAGAAGAAGGUAGAUUUUAGCUUAAAAGCAUUCAUUUCAGACUAUAUUGCUAACUAAUGGCAGAAUCAAGAAUGAAGACACAGGACUUCAGACUCCAUUUCCAUGAUUCUCUUUACCACACAAAGGCAGGAACCUUCCAGGUGUCUGGCAAUACCACCAGUAUAAUGAUAAGAAACAUUUAUGUUGCACCUAUGGUGCUGAUCACUUUACACACCUGACCUGACCUAAUCCUCAUCACAGCCUAUGAAGUAGAUAGCUCCAUGCAGAUGAGGAAACUGAGCCUUGGAGAAAUUAAACAGCCUCAGGUCCCAAGAUACAUGAAUGUAAUCCAGGAUCCAAACUGUCUGUCUUUGAUACUGAGACUUUACAGUGCAGUACCUGCUGGUGUAAUUCCUUCUGGAAUCAAUAAGCCUAUAGAUCUGAGUAAGAAACCACCACUGAUGUGAUCAUUGAGACACCACUUAGAGUGAAGCCAGUCCCUUUCUCUCAAAGUGGAGCACAUGAAGCUCUGGAGGGAACUGGUCUGUGGGCUGGGGCUCAAGGAAUUGCAUGGAAAUAGGGGGAAACCUAUGCUUUUUAUAUGAAAGCAAAUGGAUAUUGUGGAAUAAGAUGCUAAAUUUACAUGAAUAUUAAAGAAUAAACAGGAGGCUUUGACUACAUUUUGAGCUUUUAAAUUUUGUUUCUGAACCUCCAGAGACUCAAGCUUACUGGCUAUUGGUGUCAGGAACACUCCCAUGAAAGAGUUUUGGAAAUCCUGACUCAGCCAGUCCACAAAGUUCACUUCUUGCUUUGGCAAAUGAACACACACAAAAAAUCACUGAGCUACGAUUGCUUUUUGCAACUCGUUGCAGCAAGAAGCUGUUGGCCAUUGAUUAGCAAUGGGCACAUUUUUCACCAAAGGCUUUGCCCUCCCUUUGCUUCGCUAAUCCUGUUUGCAAGCAUUUCCCCACAGAGAUCGCUACUUCCUCAUAAUGAAUAAGCUCGCACUUGUGAGUUCAAACUGGCAAAUUGCCACCAGACAUUUAUUAGCUCUGGAUUAAUGGAUCAAGACUCAAACUUUCUAGUUAAAAGAACAAGACAAGCCCUUAGGAUUCAAGACUCUUUAAAAAAAUCCUCAUUCACUUGGCAUUACCAUUUCUUGCAGUCCUUCCUCUCCCUUGUAGGGUUCGAUUUGUCAGUAAAGCAGUGGAAAGGACUUAUUUUUCAGCCAUUUUGGAUCAGAGAAAAUUGUUGAUCUUAGUUGUUCAUGUUUUCCUGGGACUUUUAAAUGGGACUGGUGUUCUGGCAGAAAUUACUGGAAUAUGCUAGGUGGAAGGAGACUAACAUUGCCAUGACAUCAUGGGCUCAAAGGGGCAGGUAGAGGCAAGGUUGGGAGGGUGAUCCUCCUGGAGAAGAAAAAGACUCAAGGGGCUGUGUGAAUUGUCCAAAGACUGCUGGCAGGCUGAGCUGGAGGAAGAAAGGUCACCCUUAUUCUUACAGCUACAAAGAGCUGUGCAGAGACUCCUGAGUGGGACCCUGGGAGACAGAUUUUGGUUCAGAAAGAAAAUGGAAUUUCUGGAAUAGUCAAAGAGGCUCAGAAUUAGAAUGGCUACUUCAGAAGGCAUUAGCUCUUCAUUCUUAGAGGGAAGAGGGUGGGCAGAGAGAGAGAGAGAAAGAGAGAGAGAGACUUGCUUUAGUGAGCAUAUACUGUGUGCGGAAUCUUUCAUAGGUUAUUUCUUUUCAUCUUCUCAACACCAUUGUAAAC
rnacentral:lncRNA from 1 species